rnacentral:rRNA from 1 species
UACGGGAGGCAGCAGUGAGGAAUAUUGGUCAAUGGACGCAAGUCUGAACCAGCCACGUCGCGUGAAGGAAGACGGGCCUACGGGUUGUAAACUUCUUUUGUAAGGGAAUAAAGUGAGCCACGUGUGGCUUAUGGCAUGUACCUUACGAAUAUACCUAC